CAUCGCACCCCCGAAAGGAAACAGUGCCAUGGUCAGCUGGCCACAUAAACACCAUCACCCCCAGCGAACAUGGUUUCGGACGCGUGGUGCCAUCAGUGCCCUGAGGUCCCUCGUCCCUGCAUAAAGAGUGCAGCGCGCUGAGGGGCAGCCUGAGGCAGCCGGGAGGAGGCAGUGCCCUUGCUCAUGCCCAGAGAGGCCUCGCUGGCAAGGCCAAAGGGAGAAGCGCUUUGGGCUUUCCCAUGCUGGCUUUACAACUGGGCACAUUUACUUGGUUUGCACAAAGAGAUUCUUGCAAAGAUUUGGUUCACAGCACAAUUUCACAACAAAUGAAGGUGCAACUGAGAACAGUGUGAAGGGAGAAAAGGGGUCACGCAGGCAGAGCCGGAGCACCGCUGCACUCAAUGCCAG